rnacentral:rRNA from 1 species
AUACGGAGGGUGCAAGCGUUACUCGGAAUCACUGGGCGUAAAGCGCGCGCAGGCGGUCUUUUAAGUUGGAUGUGAAAGCCUACAGCUCAACUGUAGAACUGCAUCCAAAACUAUUAGACUAGAGUCUGGGAGGGGAAGAUGGAAUUAGUUGUGUAGGGGUAAAAUCCGUAGAGAUAACUAGGAAUACCAAAAGCGAAGGCGAUCUUCUGGAACAGUACUGACGCUGAGGCGCGAAAGCGUGGGGAGCAAACAGGAUUAGGUACCCUAGUAGUCC